rnacentral:rRNA from 1 species
AGCCUGAUCCAGCAAUGCCGCGUGAGUGAAGAAGGCCUUCGGGUUGUAAGCUCUUUCUAGUUGAGAAGAAAAGAUUGUGACUAAUAAUUGCAAUUCAUGACGGUAUCAACAGAAGAAGCACCGGCUAACUACGUGCCAGCAGCCGCGGUAAUACGUAGGGUGCGAGCGUUAAUCGGAAUUACUGGGCGUAAAGGGUGCGCAGGCGGUUCUGUAAGUCAGAUGUGAAAUCCCCGGGCUUAACCUGGGGAACUGCGUUUGAAACUACAGAGCUAGAGUGUGGCAGAGGGGGGUGGAAUUCCAUGUGUAGCAGUGAAAUGCGUAGAGAUAUGGAAGAACAUCGAUGGCGAAGGCAGCCCCCUGGGUCAACACUGACGCUCAUGCACGAAAGCGUGGGGAGCAAACAGGAUUAGAUACCCUGGUAGUCCACGCCCUAAAACUAUGUCAACUAGUUGUCGGGCCUUAUUAGGUUUGGUAACGUAGCUAACGCGUGAAGUUGACCGCCU